rnacentral:lncRNA from 1 species
UAAUUAUAAAUUAUGUGUCCAUUAGGCACAACCCGAACUAGCGCAUGACCCUCUCAAACAGAUGUGGAUACAUUAGGCACAACCCACAAGCCAACCAUUAAGAGUAUAAGACUAUUUCGUCAAAGGAACAUAUCUAACAAUGAAUGUGGUACGGGUAAAAGCAUAUAUCAUUUUCUAUAGUGCGGUCAAUAAACAAUCAGAACGACUUUAUCACCUGAUUUCCUUUGUACGAGGAAAAGGCACAAACACGUGGCCAAUUCUCAAUGUAGUCUAUCUUGGGGUCCCACCCGGAUAUGUGAGGAAAGUGAGAGAUGAUCUACGCCUGAAAA